UUAACUCUAAAAACAUUUGGAUGAUUUGUUGAUUUUGUCGCACAAUGUUAGAAAUCCGAACUUUUUUUUUGUUUAGCUAGCAUUCAGUAUCUCCAGUAUAAAUUACUUUUCUACUACCUUGUGAUGGUAGCUACUCCUAUUCUCGACAAUAUAGUGACAUAAACAUUGGACUGUUUCGAUCGCAAUUUGGCCAAAGUCUACGAUGGAUUAACGAUCAAGUAUCGUUAUGUAAUAUCGUAUUCAUUAUCGGUUAUACCAAUCAGUAUUAAAUAAAAUUAAAUCAUAAUACACAAAACUAAGUAGCGUUAUAACAUUUUCAAAGCUGCUCCAUGGCUAUUCAAGCUGUGCUAAAUUUAUUGUUGCAUUCUUAAUUCCCGUAACUAUCUUGCAUUGAACGAGCACCACCGCUAGCUCAAAUGUAUCCUUUCUGAACCACUAUAAAACGCCAGGCUUGUACCCUCUAUUCUUCACACUGGGUAGUAGUCCCUCAACGAAUACAUCGUUCAGCUCGCAACAUGAAAACUGUCAUAGUACUGUUCGUCCUAGUGGCUGUUGCCACAGCAAUGCAGCCAUUUUAUCACCCACAAGAGCAAUUUCCCAUGGUUGAAAUCAUGCCCAUAAAUACUUUAGAUAACAGACAGUUACCCAAAAUUUUGGAAUCUCUUGUAGGGCUUGUUGACGGGUUUCUUAAUGUUUUCGAAGCAACACGUCGUGGCGACCCUGUUGAUCGUGAGAACAUGCGGCAGCUUUUACAAUUGUUACAGCUUUUACCUCCAUUUGCAAAGACUCUCAAUGAACAAUUUGGUCAAUGAACAUAAUUCGAAAAGGUUUCCAACCCACAAGUGAGGUAAGAUUUGCACUGGAAGACUUCACACAAAAGAGAGCUGCGAUGGGAAUGGACGAUCAUAAAUUUCUCUAUCGGCAUAAAUAAAUAUAUAUUCGUACUUGCAAA